GAAGCUGGUCGCAAGAGCAGGGAUAUUGAUGAAACCAAACCAAUAUUGGUGGUAGAUAGCGCGUUGCCCAUUGAAAAGUAUGAUCGCACCCUUUUCUACAACAUAGCAUUGAGCGAAACAUCUGAUAUCAUCAAACGAGUCUCCGUCACCCUGGAUGUGGAAACAGCGCAUCCGCUGCUCGAGGUGUCUGAGGAUCGGAAGACGGUGAGACGGACCUUGACCGAGAGGAAUCUCCCUAGCACCGGGAAGAGGUUUACACACUGGACGUGUGUGCUGGGAUCGGAGGGAUUCACAUCGGGGAGACAUUACUGGGAGGUGGAGGUGGCGGGGAGUCGGUACUGGAGGCUGGGAGUCGCCG